AAAAACAAACGUUUGAUUGAAGCGUUUGAACCUUGUUGUUAUUUUUCCACCAAUGCGCCAGACGUUAGUAUUCGCGAGAAAAAAAAAACAUGUCGUCGGUGAAAUUGUUGCCUCUGGCUAAAAAUAAGUUUUGUUUUAGGAAAUAGUGAUCGAAUUGUCGUGAAUUGUGUCGGAAAAGUGUUUUAAUAAGCUUAUCAAUAAAUUAUAUAUCGAACUUCGUACUUGCCGGUGGCGAAAAUAGUCGAAAAGUCUUGUUCGUGAUCGCGACUCGUAACAAAAGACGUGCGGUUCCGUUCCGGUCGGAAGGAAGUUUUUUCAGCCUUCUUCCACUUGCGCUUCAACUCCAGUGAACCAGCGACCCAGCACCACAUCGAAUUUAGUUUAUUAUGUGCAGAACGGUGUGUGUAUGUGGCGCGGUUUAUUUGAAGACUGCUGCUGGCGGCUCUGAGUGCUGUGGAAUCGUUGAGACGUGAUAACCAGUAACUGCCAAAGACGGAAUGGACGGUGAGACGGUAGUGCUCCAGUAACCAGAAGAAAAAUAAGCACCAAUCGUGGUGGAAAUUUUCCAGCAUAGUUAGCGGUAGUAUACGUGGUACCCCAGUGACCGUUUUCAAUUUUCUAGAAGUUUUUCGGGUGCCAGGCUGAGCAGUCGUUAUUGGGAAUUGAUUGGGAUCGAAACUCCCAAAACCCACUCUCCAUGUUUAUAGCUGCAGUUCAGUUUAAAACGGCUAGUCGAUGAGGGUAAUUCGUAAAUUGGAAUGAGUGAAAUUCGGUUACAAUCAGUGAAAUUCGUGGAAAAUAAAUUAGAAAAAAAUAUGAGAUAUGUGUAUAUAACAUAAAGUGAAAUUCAGAUCGUUGUGAACCCAGUGAAUGCAAAAUAAUCAGGUCGAAUGCAAAAGAAAAAAAUCAUGGUGAAAAUUGCUGUCCGUUUGGGAAAGGCGGUAUCCAAAGCCGUUGUAAUAGCGCAUGCUUACUUUAAUGAUAGCGUCAGGCCACAAAGAAUGCCGGUACUAAGUCCGGAUUGAUCGUAUUGCGUAUCAUAAUUAAUCUGACAAAUAUACAUGUGUGAAAUGCAAAAAGGCGCCGCUGUGCUUAUCAGAGGAUACGCCGAGGAUACCCUGAUCGAGACCCUUCGUUGCCACCGCCGGCAAGUUUUGCAGCUAUCGCCGAACGUCAAAUGGUGUCAGACAGCAAUGCCAAGAUCGAUAUAGGAGCGCGGAUCAAGAAAGCAAGGGCUACCUUUGCAAGUUUAAGAAAUACCUGAAAAAACAUGCGGCAGAUAAGUGAACGUACCAAAAUCCGAAUUUUGGUGAAAUCAGUGCUGCUACACGCUAACAAAACAUGGUACGAAUCAGUGGAGAACACUCAACGGCUGCAGGUGUUUAUCAACAGAUGCCCGCAGUACAUAAUUCGUGCCUGGCUCACAACUGGAUCUCAAACAACGAGCUUCAUUGUCGUCACUAGAGGCAGAUAGCAACUGAAAUUCGGGAACGGAAGUGGGACUAAGUCCGCCACAGGGGCGGAAAUGAAAUCUGAAAUCUCUAAACAUUAGACUGGAACCCAGCUGGACAUCGUAGCAGAGGCAGACCCAGAGGCUCAUGGCGACGAAGUCUCCAUAAUGAAAUUAUAGAAAUCAACCGAAAUCUAACUUAGCAACGAAUUAAGGCGAUAGCUGGCCGGCAUCGACCAGGAUGGAGAUCUUUCAAGUCGGCCCUUUGUACCACUCGGUGUGUACAGGACCCAUAAACUAACUGUACUAAAUGCCAUCUAACAAUCGAGCAGUAAAUAAAGCGACGUGGGUCUCUCGUGAGCCUGCUUGAUGCUCGGCUGGAAUAAACGGAGCGCUGACAUUGCUGGCCAUCACCUUCUAAGUGGCGAGAUCCAACUAUGUAUUACCAGAAUUUAACGGCAGGAGGAUAGGGUCGCAUAGCGAUUCAAUACACAUAGACAUGCUGUGCAGGAAUCGUUCGUUGAAGAACUAGGAACUCGGGCCAGAGAUACGAAAAUACGAUUCCCGUCAAUGGCACAGAUCACGCAUGUCUAAAUUUUAUGAUAUGAUAGCCUCACAGCUGGAUUCAAAAGCGUAAAUAGAGAUCACAUUCUUCGUGCUACCAACAAGACGAAUCUGUAAGGAAUACCAGAUUCAGGAAGAAUUUGUCAGUAAUGACCAUGUUGAUUACCAGGGCAGUUCAAAGUGAUAUUGACCUGAAACGUCGUUGCCAAAAAUAGUGUAGGAUGAACACGGUGAAGAAGCGCUUAUCCUCCAGGAUUACAUUCCAUCCAACCAGUUGAACAUAAUUAAAUGUCGAGUCAGGUACGAGACACUGAAGACGGCCUUACAGUUGAGGUCAAAAUACGUAUCUAUGAUAAUUACAACGUGGUGGAAUUAAAUGAAACAGUAGUAACUCGUUAUAUGCUAGGUGUUCCAUUUUUGUUACUAUUUUGAUUAUUAGUCUGUCUGUAGCCAAGUUAAAUGCGCGAGCAGUUGGACCGCGCGAGCACAAUGGGCGUAGAAAUAUUGGGGGGCAUCUA